rnacentral:misc_RNA from 1 species
CCCAGUACUAGUAGACAGUUAUGCCAUUUGGGCUUAAGGUGACUCGUUCCCUAUUUCAAAAGGCCAUGAUUUGGAUUUUUGAACCCAUCCUACAUAGUGCCUUGAUCUAUAUUAAUGACAUCCUGCUAUUCUCAAAAAGCGUCUCAGCCCAUAAGAAACUUCUCCCCCAGUUCCAAAGUCUAGUCCAGGAGUAUGGAAUCAUGUUAUCUGAAAAGAAGUCACUUGGCCAAAACCAACAUUAAAUUUCUGGGAAUGCAGUUUGAAGAUGAAAAGUACCAUCCUGGAUCCCACAUUGCUCAGGAGUUAUUAAAAUUUUCAGAUAAGGAUUUAACUACCAAACAAAUGCUGAUACACUUCCAGAUACACUUCCCUCCCGUAAAAAAUGCAGAAAAAAACAAGCCUCUCCUUGGAGCACUGCACAAACGAUAGUUGUCCCAACACUGAAAAAAAUUACACAAAAUCCACCUCACUUAAAAAUUACUGGCCCAAGAAAAAGGAUCCUACAUACUGAUGCUAAUGAUGAAUAUUGGGGAGCUAUUCCUCUUGAAAAAUAUAAGGAAAACGACAUAUCUCUAGUUAUGCUAGCGGACAAUUCAAAGACCCCGAAAAGCUUUACCAUACAGUCUUCAAAGAAAUCCUGGCAAUAAAAAAUGGAAUUAAAAAAUUUGAAUUCCAUGUCAUAGGGCACUGCAUUUUGAUUAUCAUGAACAACUCAUCCUUUCCCAAGGUACUAGACUUUAAAAACAAGAGUCUUCCGAAACCAUAUCUUUUGAGAUUAAAAAAUUGGUUUUCCAACUACGAAUUUACUAUCCAGCAUAUAAAAGGAGACCUCAACCUGGUUCCAGAUCUCUUCACCAGACCACCUUCUAUCCAACUUCUAGCUUCUCUUUACUCAAUUCCUCUCAUUUUUAUGGGUAGCUCCUCCAAGCAAUUCAGCUCUAAAACUCCUCCAUUUUUAAUCCCUGCACUAAAAAGUUUUCCACCAGGAUGCAAUGCAUCAAUGACACUCAACCAAAUCAUUGAAUUUGCAAAAAAUAACCUAUUUCAUUUCGAAAACCUUCCAAUGUUCUCAAACAAAAGCAAGAGACACUCUAUGUUCCGACCAGAUGCUUCAUUCCUCACCGCCUAUUGUCUAGACCUCCAAGAAGAUUUACUCUUUGAAGAAAUUUGGUUUUUAUGUUGUAUGGUUACACUGUACACCAUCGCUUUUAAAGUUCCUAC